GCGAGGGGAGUGAAAAAGAACCUGAAACCGUGUACGUACAAGCAGUGGGAGCCCCACCACCAAAGCAUUCUCUGGUGUUGAAGGCCCUGCAAAGCAGCAUCGCGGUGGCGGAGCGUCGUUUGCGACGCCCAACACACAAAACAAGCGGUGAAUGCUUUGGGGUGGGGUGACUGCGUACCUUUUGUAUAAUGGGUCAGCGACUUAUAUUCUGUAGCAAGGUUAACCG
rnacentral:rRNA from 1 species